CUUAUCUUGCAUCUCGACCAUGAAGAAAGGAUUGGUGCUUGGUCUGUACGAAACAGAAGAUGAAAGCAACCUUUUACUGACUCCCACGGCGGCUAAAUAUGAUGAAUUAGUCAAAGGAAAAUUGCAAAAACAUAUUUUGUUGAGAGACUAGACUGAGAGACGGUAUUGUACGCAUGAUAUGAAGCAAAACUCGCUGCACAGAAGGAGUUACCAGAUACAUAUUUUGUUAUAUAAAAAAAAAUUUUAACAGCACAUUAUUUGUAAAGCAAUUAUUUCUACGCAUCAGUUAUUAGUCAAAAUCGUUUAUCAAAAAGGCUCAAACAAAACUUUAAAAAAUAUGAGAUUUAAAAAAGCAGAUUGAAAUUACCAGAUGUAUCUUAAAAUAAUUAAAUGUAUUUUAAGAAAUAUUAUUCAAUUAAGGAAAAAGAUGUCAGCUAUCAAUGAUAGUAAUUUGGGAAAUGAUAAUCCUGGAAGCAGUGGAAGUGUAGGUGAAUGUAGUGAUAGAAUGAGUAAACAAAAUCAUUCUGCAAAUGUUCUCCAUAGGAUUAGUGGUACCCUUGAAGACAAGAAUAAUGAUUAUCUGUGUCCUAUUUGUUUUGAAAUAAUUGAUGAAGCUCAUAUCACACGUUGCGGUCAUACAUUUUGUUAUCGUUGUAUAGUAAAAUCGUUGGAAGCUAAUGGUCGUUGUCCAAAAUGUAGUUACAUGUUAACUCAACAGGAUAUUUUUCCAAACUUUCUGUUACAUGAAUUGAUAUCAAAAUAUAAAACUAGAAUUAAGGGUCUUACUGAAUUAGGAUCUUCUUAUGCAGCUGAUGGUAGACACAAAACAGGUAUAGAUUUACCUGUACCACCACAUGAUGGAUUAAGAGAUAUUAUAGCUGCAGAAAGUGCUAAUCUAACAUUACCUGAUGUGAAUGUAAUGCUGGAGGUAUUAACACAAAGGAAACAUUUACUAGAAGCAGAAACAUGUGCUGCGCAAAACAAAUUGCUGCACGAGUUUUUAAAGCAUUUGCUACAGCAGAAGGAGGAGCAAAAGAAUCAGUUACAAAAGGAGAUAGCAUUGAUUAAAAAAGAUAUGGAAGAAGUUGAAAAUAUUUUAAAAGAUGUACAAAAUAAAUGUCCUAAAGUAGAAGAUUUGAAAAAAUCCAGUGAAAAUGAUACUGCGCAAGUAUCAGCUAUAAGAAAAGAAAUGAUUGGUCUUAUAGACAUAAUUGAUUCGAACAUGGUAAAACCAAAUGAGAAAGCAAAUGUUGGAACUGACACUUUUAUUAAUCCAACAGGCAGUAAAAAACAAAAUGAUUAUGCAGUAGGAUCUACUUUAGCUGUACGUAGGAAGAGGAUGCAUGCACAUUUUGAUGAUUUUGUUCAAUGCUAUUUUGACUCCCGUGCUAAGGAACUACUGCUUGGGCAUAAAUCUCAAAGUCAGAGUGAUUCGUGGCAAGGCACUAGUUCAGGACUCGAUGUUUUUAGAGAAAAUCUUGUAAAAUUCUCGAGAUACAAAGCGUUACGUCCAUUAGCGACUUUAAAUUAUUCGUCAGAUAUUUUUAAUAAUUCCACUAUUGUUUCAAGCAUUGAAUUCGAUAAAGAUAACGAAUUCUUUGCGAUAGCUGGAGUUACAAAACGUAUAAAAGUAUUCGAUUAUAGUGCUGUAAUAAGGGACACAGUAGAUAUACAUUAUCCCUGUGUGGAAAUGGUAUCUAGCUCCAAAAUAUCAUGCGUUUCGUGGAAUUCUUUUCAUAAAGGGAUGCUAGCAUCAUCUGAUUAUGAAGGAAUAGUAACAGUAUGGGAUGCUGCAACUUGUCAAAGAACUAAAACAUUUCAGGAACAUGAGAAGAGAUGUUGGUCAGUUGAUUUCAAUGAUGUAGAUACAAAACUUAUAGCAUCAGGCUCAGAUGAUGCUAGAGUUAAAUUAUGGUCUUUAAACAAUGAUCAUUCCGUGGCUUCUUUAGAAGCAAAAGCUAAUGUAUGUUGUGUAAAAUUUAACCCACGUAGUUCAUGUCACUUGGCAUUUGGAUCUGCAGAUCACUGUGUCCAUUAUUAUGAUUUACGUAAUAUGAAGGAAGCACUCUGCAUUUUUAAAGGGCAUCGUAAGGCUGUUUCAUAUGUUAAAUUUAUUAAUAAAGAAGAAAUAGUAUCUGCAAGCACGGAUUCACAAUUGAAGAUGUGGAAUAUUAAUAAUCCACAUUGUUUGCGUUCAUUUGUCGGACAUGUAAACGAAAAGAAUUUUAUAGGUCUUACUACUGAUGGUGAUUAUGUAGCAUGUGGGUCAGAAAAUAAUGCACUUUAUGUAUAUUACAAAGGACUCUCGAAACAAUUGUUCUCAUAUAAAUUUGAUGCUGUUCGAAGUAUAUUAGAAAUACAAGAACGAAGAGAAGAAGAUCUGAAUGAAUUUGUGUCUGCAGUUUGUUGGAAACAAAUGUCAAAUGUUGUAGUAGCCGCAAAUUCUCAAGGGACUAUUAAAAUAUUAGAACUAGUUUAAAAUUAGUUAUGAGUUGCUAUAAUAUAGCAAAUAUUGAUAUGUAUAUAUUUUGAAAUUUAUUCAAUUAAGUGCUCAAGCACAAAUAACAACGAGAAGUGAAAAUUUAUUCUAAAUGUUAUAGUACUUUGUUGUGAAUAAAAUUGAGGAAUUUUAAGGGUUUUCAAAUAUAUUGAAAUCUAAAUUUUUGGAGACUGACUUAUUUGAGAAAGUAAUACUCUGAAUAUUAAGCAGCACAAAUACUUUUCUCUCAUUAUAUUUUUAUUAAAUAUAUGGGUAUUGUUACUUACACUAUAUUUGUUUAAUUGUUUUGCAAUUUAGAUAUACUUUAACAAUAGACUGAAUUUUAAUAAUAAACAAUUCAUAUUAGUAACACAUGACUAUAUUAGUAAUAAAGAUGUAAAAUCUAAUAAUUUUUUUCAUAAAAUAUGGCCUUCCAAAACAUUACAUAAUUUAAUUAUGUUUCAUAUAUCCUAAAAUCAAUGUAUUUGCACAGUGAUUAUUAGCACAAUUCAAGUAUAAUAAAAUAUUUUUAUUAGGUGAAUUUCAUUAUGAUUAUUAUAUUAUUAUUAUUAUUAUCCGUAUUUUUGUAUUUUUUGUUUUUGGCCACAAUCUUAUGUAGUAAUAGUAUUUGUUUAUAAUUAAAUCAUAUAAGUUAUCUAAUGUUUAAUAUAAAUUUUCUUAGCUCAAUAAAUAGAAUUUGUGAAUGCUAAAUAAAACAUAAAAUUUCAUCAUUCUAAACAGCUUUCAACGUGGAAAAUAUUUUUGUGACUUGUAAUAUGUAAAAAGGGAAAAUAUUUUAAAACCACAUAUUUGAAAUUGUUAAAUAAGAAUGUAAUUUUAAUCAUAUAAGAUAUGAUCCUUAUAAUAAAUCUUGCCAAAGUAGCCUAAUAGAUUAAAUUCAAAAUAGUAGAAAUGUAUAAGUUGAUACCAUAAACAGUGUUGAUACUAUCUGUUCAAUUCAAUUUGUGCCAAGAACAUCACAUCAGAUUGUGUAUAAGAAUUAGUAAAUGUGCUUGAAUUGCAUUAAGUUCCUACUAUCAGUGUCACAAUCACUGUUUUUUAUAUAGUAGUGUCAGAGCUAAGGAAAGAUAGAAUUUAUAAUGAAAAAUAGUAGCUUGUUAAUAUUUUUCAAUUAUAAAGAUAUAUUUGUUAUUUUAUAAAUAAAUAAGUUAAUUAUAAUUAAUGAUAACUUUCUCAAAAAAUAAUAGUAAUUAAUUUGUUGGAUGCAAUAAUUUUAUUGAGGAAGAAAGAUGAAAAAUUUAUUUAGUAUUUUUUAUUUUAAAUGUUAUUUUACUUAGCUCUGAAUAGUAUAUUUUAAGCAGAUUUAUAAUAUGGCUCAUAUUUCUAAAUAUCAAUGUGUCAAUUUUUAAUAAUUUCUUUACAAUUUCUAUAAUAAUAUUUAAGCAAACGGUGUUACAAAUAUGAAACCCCAUGACAAAUUUGUAUACUUAAAUCUGUAUAUAUAUGUGAACAAGGAAUCGAAUUUUGGUAACAAGAAUAUAGUGUUAUAUUGUAUUGCAUUAUAUUCAAAGAUAAUUGUUUACUGUUGUAAAUUCUUAUUGAUAUCAAAAUGCAUUGAAAAUAAUUGUCAUGCCUACUAUUAAUAUAUUAUGAGUGCAAAUCAAUUGUCUCCACUAUAAAUCAGAUGAAUUAAUUGUGAAUUAAUAUAGUUAAAAUUGUGAAAAGUAAUUGUAAUUUUAAUCUAAUUAAUUAUUAGAAACAUUAAUUAGAGUAAUUUUAAAAGACUCUGUUCUAGGAUAUAUGUAAAGGAUAGUAUAUUUUUAGAUUGUAUUUUAAAAUUGCAGAUGCAACAGCAUGUGUUAAUAGAUGUCCAAAACGCCUAGAAUUAUUAGCAGGUCCAAAAAUUCCCAAAGGUCAUGCUAGAAUAUUUUGGGGUUUGGAUGAGAAGGAUUACGUGGGAAUUGCAGUUGUUGGUCUUG